UCCUGGCUUCCCCCCUUGCCUCUUCGGAACAGUUUUCUCAGCGUUAUCUGAGAUGCCGUGUCCUGGGCUUAAGUCCUCAGACAGUCUGCCGAAUAAAACAUAGCUCUCACCUUUCAGGUGGUGCGUGUUUUCAGCGCAUAGGUGCACGAGCCGGUCAGCGGCCUGGGCAGAGGGCACCCUCCACUCCCGACCGCCGGGUUCCCGCAGGGCUCUGCACACACUGUCUCCACCCUCAGGGUGGUCCUGCCGUCCUGGUCUCCCCUGGCAACUCCCCUGAGGGGCCGGGCACUGCUGAGUCAUCCCUCACCCACGAAAGGCGCAGCCCCCCCAGUUCUGUACAAAGUCACACAAGCACAACCACUGCCACACAGCUCUUGUGCAACCUGGCACAGUCCUGCUGGCAGGUACUUGGGGAUUUCUCUGCGGCUGCACCCGCUCCCAGGGCAGGGAGCCACACACGCACACCCUGCACCUGGAGAACGGUGGCCAGGCGCACCUCGGCCCUGGAGAGGCCUCUGCUGACCUCCGUGUGGGCUGCUGGGUGCAGGGGCUCCUGGGCAAUGAGCACCGCCGCGGCCCUGGCCUGCCUGAGGCCUCUUCUGCCUGCACAUGGGCCACUGCUUUCACCACACACCUUCUUCCGGCCCGUCCCACUGUGCUUCCCAAAGCCACUGAGGGCCUGGAGACAGGGCCCACUGGGUGCCGGAUGGGGACCACAGCCUGAGCGCCGGCUCCACCACUGGCUCAGAGAGACUCUGGGAGAGUCCUUGCUCCUGUCCGGCUGCUGCUUCUUCACACACAAAACAGAAGCUGGGACUAGACUGAUGACUUCCCAGCUUUGCUCCUAGAAGCCUGGUGGUCACACUCGUGGCCUGGAAGUGUCUCAGAGCUGAGACCUCCUGUCCCUGGUGCGUCACCCUGGGCACCUGCCCAACAGUGGCGGGAAGCAGAGAUACGAAGCGGGCAAGCGGCCUCAUGUGAACUCAGGGUGAAUCAGCCUCGGGGCUCACCUCCAGCCGCCAGCCCGUUUGCAAAGAGGCCAGGAAUUCUACUGCAGAUGCGCCUGAGGAGAGGGGAACGGGAAACAAACCAAGGGGCCAGAAGAGACUGGGCGCUGAAGGCCAAUUCUGCCAGCUUCUCAGAUAAGCCUGAGGUAUGUCCAGCCUCCAACCUCCAGGCCACCGCCCUCUGCCUGAGGAGUCCCGUUCUCUAGGAAUGGAGGCCACCUCGCAGGAGCCAGGCUUGAGUGGGUAGAUGUGGAAACAGGCCGAGGCACACACCAAUGGGUUCCACCCCACCAGGCAACAGGAGAGAGAAAAGAGUGGUCCCAGGCCGGGCCCAGCAGCAACAGCCGCCGCCAGGAAGGUCCAAAUGCCCAGAUAAUGAGCCGGAUUCUUCUUCCAGAGACACCAGCUAAUGAAGGGAGCACAGGAAGCCCCGUGCCACAGGCGCAAACUAUUUAUACAAGUGUUAAAAAUACAUUUCGAAAGAAAGCAGGGAAGCCCGAGGGACCCCUCUGCCGCCCUUGGAGAAUGAUUUCUGAAUACCGCGUUAGUUGGUUUUCUGAGAGGUGUUUGAAGUCUCUCCGUGUACCCCUUGGGCAACUUUAAUUCCUCCUCCUAAUCCCCUAUUAAACCUGAUGCUCACUAACACAGUCCGCUUAGGGGAUUAUGAUUUUUAUUCUUAAUUAUACAGGUAUAUAUUUGGGUCCAUGUGCAUUGCUAUGUUUUUAUAUAAAUUUCAGAAGGCACUGUCAGCCUCACUUCUCCAAGAGGCCCAAAAUAGCCUGAGCUUCGUUUAGGCACUAGGGGGAUUUAAAAUGAAAUGUAAAGGGACAGAAGAGUAUAAUUUUUAAAAUCCAUUUUCAAAGCCUUGUAACCUUACAGCCAGAGAUGAAUGGGCUCGUGGGAAAGUGUAAGAAGGAACACGUGAAGAGCUGAGCCUGGGAGGAGCAGGGUGAGGUGGGGGGCACCUUUGCCAAUGCCUGGCAGAGCUGGAGGCACCCCCCACCAACCCGCCCAGGCAACCAGCUGCACAGUCCCGGGAAACAGGAAGGCACAGUGAUCAUCAGCAUCAUUGCCAGCAUCAUCACCAGCAGCAAGUCCCUCUUCUUAAACACCUACUACGUGCCAACUCUUGUAUUCAACUCUUUGCACACUUCACCUCAUUAAACACAGCAGCCCUCUCAGGAGGGUGCCGCUAGGAUCCCUGGUUUUCAGAUAAAGAAACUGAAGCGUGGAAAGGUCAGGUGACUUCCCUAAGGUCCCACUGAAGAAAUGGUAGGGAAAAAAUAAUAUAUGAAUAACGAUGAUCAUGAUGAUAUUAACUGAGUGUCGGUAACACGCCAGGCACAGUUUUAUGUACAUUAUCUCAUUUAACCCUCACCAAACGCCAGUGGGAUAAGUCCUGUUAUUAAUCUUAUUUUACAGAUGAGGAAACCAAGGCUCAGAGAGGCUAAAAAAAAAGCUGCCAGAGGUCAGAGAACCAGUAAGGACCUCUGACUUGAACCCAGGUCAGUGAGACCUCAGGACCCAAGCCCUCAAUUUCUCCUCUCUCACUCCACAAAGUAACGGCGUGCUCCCUAGCCACAGAGGACUUAAGGACAAUGGCACAAGAGAUCUGACAACGCAGCAUCCCUCCCACUGGUCCUGGAGGCCUAGUAACCAGGGGUCUGUCUAGGUUCUGGAUCAUCAGGGCCCCAGCAGCUGAGGUAAUCUGGGAAGACUCCCUGGAGGAAGCGUCUAAGAGGUAGGCUGGGGAAGAAUGGGCUGAAGCACAGAAGACAGUGGAAGUGGAUAAAAUGGGGCGCAAAGGUAAGAAAGGACGAGUAUGCUCAGAGGCACGUGGCUGGAGACCUUAGGAGUCAGAUAAGGCAGAAGGAUCGGGAGAGAGGUCUGGUCUGGGGACAGACAUCUAGGGGUCACAGAACCAUAGGGAUCCUUCCACCAAAUCCACCCUCCCUGCCUUCCCUCCAGCGACUGGGCAUGAAGAAAGCAUCCCUGCUCCUAUUCAAGGCCAGCUCCUGCCUUCAACACCAAGUCGCACCUCCUGAACCCUCCCAAAGACAUUGCUCCUGCCGAUGGCCCCUCUCUCGGGAUCAUUAAACUUCUGCUUCCUCCUGCAUCUUUCACAUCAGCAUACAUAUGUGCUCUAUUUUUUCCUAUGUCUCAGAAAACCCUGCCUUGACCCCCACAUCCCUCUCAAGGUGCCACCCCGUUUCACUGCUGCCCAUUUUAUGGCAAAACACCUCGAGAGCUGGGGGGGAAUCGGAUAGAGCUGUCUCCUCCCGCAGCUCCCCGGUGGACUGGCUCUCACCAGAUCACCAACAGCUCGGGUGGUCAAAGGCCACCCUCAGCAGCCUUCCCCUCCCACCCGUCUGGCUGUACCUUCCCCAUCGCCCUGGCUGGUGCCUCCCGCAUCCACGACUGCCCUGUCCCUAGUCUCUGAGCCCCCUUCUCUUCUCUCUCUCCACCCACCAGCUCAUCCAGUCCUGUGGCGCUGAAUUCUACACCCAUGAUGCCAAAAUGUCCAUGUCCAGCCCCGCCCCUCCCCUCAGCGCCGCACGCCUGACGGCAAACUCGAUGUCAUCGCUUAUAUGUCUGAGAGGCCUCUCAAACUUAACAGGUCCCAAACUGUACUGAUUCCCACUCCCCCAAACCUGUUCUUCCUCUGCUCCUCCCCCACCUCAGCAAACGGCUGUGGGGCUGAGGCAAAGAGGGAAGUUAGGCGUAACUCUUGGCUUGAGCAACUCUGUGGACGGAGUGCCAAUCCAUCAGAAAAUCCUCUCGACUAUACCCCCAGCACAUACCUGGAGCCACCCGCGUCUCUCCAGCCUCACCGUGCCCCGCCAGCCUACGCCAUCACCAUUUUGCACCCGGACUCCUGCACUAGCCUAACUGACCUCCCAUCUUCACCUCUGCUCCCUACAAUCCACUGUCCAUUCAGUGGUCAAAGGGAUCUUUUUAAAACAUAAAUCCAAUCAAGUCAUCACCACCACCACCACCACUCUAGCUUCCCACUGUACUUGGAAUCAUAUCCAAACUCCUAGACACUGCCCCAUAC